ensembl:snRNA U6 U6 spliceosomal RNA
GUGCUCACUCCGGCAGCACCUACACUAAAAUUGGGACGAUACGCAGAAGUCUGGCAUGGUUGCCAUGCAAGGAUGACACGCAAAGGUGUGCAGCGUUCUGUAUUUUU